rnacentral:rRNA from 1 species
AUUGAACGCUGGCGGCAGGCCUAACACAUGCAAGUCGAACGGCAGCACAGAAGAGCUUGCUCUUUGGGUGGCGAGUGGCGGACGGGUGAGUAAUGUCUGGGAAACUGCCCGAUGGAGGGGGAUAACUACUGGAAACGGUAGCUAAUACCGCAUAACGUCGCAAGACCAAAGUGGGGGACCUUCGGGCCUCACACCAUCGGAUGUGCCCAGAUGGGAUUAGCUAGUAGGUGGGGUAAUGGCUCACCUAGGCGGCGAUCCCUAGCUGGUCUGAGAGGAUGACCAGCCACACUGGAACUGAGACACGGUCCAGACUCCUACGGGAGGCAGCAGUGGGGGAUAUCGCACAAUGGGCGCAAGCCUGAUGCAGCCAUGCCGCGUGUAUGAAGAAGGCCUUCGGGUUGUAAAGUACUUUCAGCGGGGAGGAAGGCGGUGAGGUUAAUAACCUCGCCGAUUGACGUUACCCGCAGAAGAAGCACCGGCUAACUCCGUGCCAGCCGCCGCAGUAA